UCUGACGCACGCGCCUACAGGGAGAGUCAGAAAGUUGUCGCGAGAUGAGGAAAUCCUGACGCUGGGUUUGUCUUCCUGACCCGGGAGGUGAAAAGUUUUUGUUUCCCGUUUCCAUAAAGGACAGUUACUUAGAAGUUGCCAUUGUUACCGAAACGCCAGGUUAUAUAGUCCUCUGCUUUUAAACCUUUAGGUAGUCAUGACAAUGGACAUGAAGUGAGAGGGUGAUGUCUGGGCCUCAGCUGUCAUCUGUCCUAUGCUGGCAUUGGAUGAACCUUAUCGAGUUCCGUCUUUGCUAUGAAAAUCUCAGAAUGGACUGCAAUGUUGCUGUCACUCCUUUUGCACGGGAUGACGCUGUAGCAGCUUCUCCUGAGCCCUUCACUUGUGGGGCAUCACCAGGUGGGGAAGACAGAACAAGUGACACUCAAUCCAAUUGGUAUAUCACGGGAGAAGAAAGAAAUCACCUAAACUGGACCAUCUAUACUCCAUUAGGGAAGGCACCACCUGUAAUGGUCUUGGGCACUGCUUUAAGCAUGACACAAUAAUAGGUGCCAAAACAAUUUUCACAGUGUUGGACAACAAAGAAGACAGAAAACCAUCUCUGAGAACAUAAUUUUCCAGGUAAGGGACCAAGGCCCAGAGCUAGCAAGAGGGGUUGUACAUCUCUCAUGGCAGAACCAGACCUAGAAUUUAUAUGGUGCUUCAUGUUAUUCUGAAACAUUGUAACCUAAGGAAAAAAAAAAUUGAAAACGCAGUGUAUGUAAAAUGAAUACCCAUCAUUGAGAAGCUAAAAUGUUUUAGUAUAAGACUUUAAUAUUUGAUUUGUAAGCUCAUGUUUGGCAAUAGGUAAUCAAGAGUUAUAGCCCUCAGGAGGUGCCUAGGUGGCUCAGUUGGUUAAGCGUUGGACUUCGGCUCAGGUCAUGAUCUUGUCGUUCAUGAGUUCAAGCCCCAUAUAGGCUCUGUGCUGACAGCUCAGAGCCGGGAGCUUGCUUUGGAUUCUGUGUCUCCUUCUCUCUCUGCCUCUCCCCUGCUCUCUCUCUCUAUCUGACAUAAAUAAAUAUUAAAAAUUUUUUUUGAAAAAAAAAAAAGAGUUUCAGCCCUCAGUAAUGUAUCGGAAUUUUUGUGAAAUAAUUUGUUAUACACAUUAAUUAUAGAGAAGCCUGAUUUUUUUUUGUUAUGCAACUUACAUAAAAUUGAUGAAGAAUGUUUAGAGUAACAUGAAGGUCCUUUUGACAUCCCAGACCUAAGGAUAUAGUUUUUAUUAAGAACAAAGAAGCAAGAAAACAAACAAACAAAAGAAACCAAUUGGUUUUCUACAACCAAUUAUUGGGCACUCUAAGAAAAAAAAUUCCAUUAUAAAACAAUUUUGAGCAUUUUUCAAACUAAUUAUCAUUAUAAUGUAAGCUGUUACUUUUGUGGCCUGGCAGCAUUCUCUAAUCUGGACAGGUCCUCAGAGGUCAGCCAUGUCAGUGCAAAUAUGCUCGUCCUCAACAGCCACAGCACAGGAGACCGAACUUCUACUGUUCUUUCCUGUUGUCUAAACUGUUAAGUAAUUAUAAAUCCAAGACAUUCAUUUAGUUGAGAAUAGUGUUUUUUAUCACCAAUUCUAUUUCUCUGUUUUUAUAGUGCAUAUAUACCACAAAGUAUUUAAAUAUCAUUUUCUUUGACUAUA